GCACCAGGCGACGACCGGCGGACGGGUGAGUAACACGUAUGCAAUUUGCCUUUAACUGGAGGAUAGCUUCGGGAAACCGCAAUUAAUACUCCAUAGUAUUCAAAAGACGCAUGUUUUGUGAAUUAAAGCUCCGGCGGUUAAAGAUAAGCAUGCGGGACAUUAGCUAGUUGGUAAGGUAACGGCUUACCAAGGCGACGAUGUCUAGGGGGUUUGAGAGGAUGAUCCCCCACACUGGUACUGAGACACGGACCAGACUCCUACGGGAGGCAGCAGUGAGGAAUAUUGGGCAAUGGGCGCAAGCCUGACCCAGCCAUGCCGCGUGCAGGAUGAAGGUCCUAUGGAUCGUAAACUGCUUUUGUAUGGGAAGAACUUCCCGCAUUCGUGCGGGAUUGACGGUACUAUACGAAUAAGGACCGGCUAACUCCGUGCCAGCAGCCGCGGUAAUACGGAGGGUCCAAGCGUUAUCCGGAUUCACUGGGUUUAAAGGGUGCGUAGGUGGAACGAUAAGUCGAUGGUGAAAGCCUACAGCUUAACUGUAGAAUUGCCAUUGAUACUGUUGUUCUUGAGUAUAGUCGGGGGAAGUGGAAUGCGUAAUGUAGCGGUGAAAAUGCAUAGAUAUUACGCAGAACACCGAUCGCGAAAGCAGCUUCCUAGGCUAUUACUGACACUGAGGCACGAAAGCGUGGGGAGCGA
rnacentral:rRNA from 1 species